rnacentral:rRNA from 1 species
UAGUGGCGGACGGGUGAGUAACGCGUGGGUAACCUGCCCUAAAGUGGGGGAUAACACUUCGAAAGGAGUGCUAAUACCGCAUAACAUUAGUGAGCCGCAUGGUUUACUAAUCAAAGGAGUAAUCCGCUUAAGGAUGGACCCGCGUCUGAUUAGCUAGUUGGUAGGGUAAUGGCCUACCAAGGCGACGAUCAGUAGCCGGCCUGAGAGGGUGAUCGGCCACACUGGGACUGAGACACGGCCCAGACUCCUACGGGAGGCAGCAGUGGGGAAUCUUCCGCAAUGGGCGCAAGCCUGACGGAGCAACGCCGCGUGAGUGAAGAAGGUCUUCGGAUUGUAAAACUCUGUCUUCAGGGAAGAAAAAAAUGACGGUACCUGAGGAGGAAGCCCCGGCUAACUACGUGCCAGCAGCCGCGGUAAUACGUAGGGGGCAAGCGUUGUCCGGAAUUAUUGGGCGUAAAGAGCGUGUAGGCGGAUAUUUAAGUCAGAUGUGAAAACUGGCGGCUCAACCGUGAGACUGCAUCUGAUACUGGAUAUCUUGAGGGUAAGAGAGGGCAGUGGAAUUCCUAGUGUAGCGGUGAAAUGCGUAGAUAUUAGGAGGAACACCAGUGGCGAAGGCGACUGCCUGGCUUACAAC